rnacentral:tRNA from 1 species
GCCCGGCUAGCUCAGUCGGUAGAGCAUGAGACUCUUGAUCUCAGGGUCGUGGGUUUGAGCCCCACGCUGGGCA